rnacentral:rRNA from 1 species
GUAGGUGGCAAGCGUUGUCCGGGAAUUAUUGGGGCGUAAAGCGCGCGCAGGCGGUUCUUUAAGUCUGAUGUGAAAGCCCACGGGCUCAACCGUGGAGGGUCAUUGGAAACUGGAGAACUUGAGUACAGAAGAGGAAAGCGGAAUUCCACGUGUAGCGGUGAAAUGCGUAGAGAUGUGGAGGAACACCAGUGGCGAAGGCGGCUUUCUGGUCUGUAACUGACGCUGAGGCGCGAAAGCGUGGGGAGCAAACAGGAUUAGAUACCCUGGUAGUCCACGCCGCAAACGAUGAGUGCUAAGUGUUAGGGGGUUUCCGCCCCUUAGUGCUGCAGCUAACGCAUUAAGCACUCCGCCUGGGGAGUACGGCCGCAAAGGCUGA